CCUACGGGAGGCAGCAGUGGGGAAUUUUUCGCAAUGGGGGCAACCCUGACGAAGCAAUGCCGCGUGGAUGAAGAAGGCCUUCGGGUUGUAAAGUCCUUUCGUGGGGGACGAAAAGGCGGAUCCGAAUACGGUCUGCUAUUGACGUGAACCCAAGAAGAAGCACCGGCUAACUCCGUGCCAGCAGCCGCGGUAAUACGGAGGGUGCGAGCGUUAAUCGGAAUUACUGGGCGUAAAGGGCGCGUAGGCGGUGGGUUACGUCUGCCGUGAAAUCCCCGGGCUCAACCUGGGAAUGGCGGUGGAAACGGGCUGACUGGAGUAUGGGAGAGGGUGAUGGAAUUCCAGGUGUAGCGGUGAAAUGCGUAGAGAUCUGGAGGAACACCAGUGGCGAAGGCGGUCACCUGGCCCAAUACUGACGCUGAGGCGCGAAAGCGUGGGGAGCAAACAGGAUUAGAUACCCUGGUAGUCACGCCCUAAACGAUGGAUACUGGAUGUUUGGCGCCUUAGGUGCUGAGUGUCGUAGCUAACGCGAUAAGUAUCCGCCUGGGAAGUACGGCCGCAAGGUUAAAACUCAAAGGAAUUGACGG
rnacentral:rRNA from 1 species